rnacentral:rRNA from 2 species
UUUCCGGAGGUGAACCUGCGGAAGGAUCAUUG